AUGGAGGAUUUUGUUGCUUGGAAUUAUACCAAAUCGGGCCUAUUUACCGUCAGGUCCGCUUAUUACACCGAAUGGGAGUUUCAGCAUGGGAGGAAAUUGGCUAGGACGAGCCCUCCGAGCACCACUGCUGUGAACCCUGUCUGGCAGCAAGUGUGGAAACUUCAAGUCCCGGCAAAGGUAAAGAUUUACUGUUGGAGGGUCUUGCAUGGGACUAUUCCAUGUAAUAGUAUUCUCGCUAAUCGACACAUACAGACCAGUAGUAUUUGCCCGGUCUGCAAAAUCCAUUGUGAGGAUAUCAAGCAUGCUACCUUCUCAUGUGGCCGAGUGUCUGAAGUCUGGGAUAAUUUGGGCGUGGAUGACACCAUAGCUGCAGCGUGUGGACAUGAAAAUACAGGCCCCGGUGCCUUGGAAGCCAUACUGCAAGGUCACAUUUUGGGACCUACUUAUAUCUCGGGUGUGGGAUUUAAGGAACUUGUGGCGACGACUUGUUGGUAUACAUGAAAGCCAGCAAGCAAGAUUCGGAGACACAGCUGGGAGCGACCUGCUGAUGGUUUCGUAAAGUUGAAUGUUGAUGCGGUGUUCUCUGUUGAUCAGGGAAGAGGAGCCACUGGAGCUGUCAUCCGCGACAAUCAAGGCAGAUUCAUAUCGGCGAGCGCAUGUGCUAUCAGUUAUGUAGCGGAUGCCCCUACAGCCGAAGCUCGCUCUAUCCGGGACGGAUUGAUCCUAGCAAGCAACUCAGGAUGCAACAAUAUCAUUGUAAAUUCAGACUGCAUGGAAGUAAUUCAGACCAUGCAGGAUGAUGGCAAUUCGACUUGUGUGGCAGCUGCUAUUUAUGAGGAGUGUAGCUUUUUAGCUAGAAAUUUUUCCAGUAUUUCUUUUGUUCAUUGUCCCAGGGAAAGUAAUAAGGUAGCUCAUUUGCUAGCUAGUCAAGCCGAGUGA
rnacentral:rRNA from 1 species